UACGUAGGGUGCGAGCGUUAAUCGGAAUUACUGGGCGUAAAGCGUGCGCAGGCGGUUUGUUAAGCCAGAUGUGAAAGCCCCGGGCUCAACCUGGGAACUGCGUUUGGUACUGGCAAGCUAGAGUACGGCAGAGGGGGGUGGAAUUCCACGUGUAGCAGUGAAAUGCGUAGAGAUGUGGAGGAACACCGAUGGCGAAGGCGGCCCCCUGGGCCGAUACUGACGCUCAGGCACGAAAGCGUGGGGAGCAAACAGG
rnacentral:rRNA from 1 species